GGGAGUUUGGCCGAGUGGUUAAGGCGCCGUGUUUAGGUAUUUGUUAGAUUCGUCUAGUCAUACCGUAAACCCGCGGUGGGAAACCGCGCAGGUUCGAAUCCUGCAGCUCUCA